AUUGAACGCUGGCGGCAUGCUUUACACAUGCAAGUCGGACGGCAGCACAGAGAAGCUUGCUUCUUGGGUGGCGAGUGGCGAACGGGUGAGUAACAUAUCGGAACGUACCGAGCAGUGGGGGAUAACUAAUCGAAAGAUUAGCUAAUACCGCAUAUAUUCUGAGGAAGAAAGCAGGGGACCAUUUGGCCUUGCGCUGUUUGAGCGGCCGAUAUCUGAUUAGCUAGUUGGUGGGGUAAAGGCCUACCAAGGCGACGAUCAGUAGCGGGUCUGAGAGGAUGAUCCGCCACACUGGGACUGAGACACGGCCCAGACUCCUACGGGAGGCAGCAGUGGGGAAUUUUGGACAAUGGGCGCAAGCCUGAUCCAGCCAUGCCGCGUGUCUGAAGAAGGCCUUCGGGUUGUAAAGGACUUUUGUCAGGGAAGAAAAGGGCGGGGUUAAUACCCCUGUCUGAUGACGUACCUGAAGAUAAGCCC
rnacentral:rRNA from 1 species